GGGAGACCGUCAGCCUGUCAACAACCACUUAAGUUAAUGUGAAAAAAUAUAAUAUAUCGCCAUUAUCACGGAGAGAAGCCCCUCCCCUUUUUGGAGGCGAUCUAACGUGUGUGUGCGGCAUCGAGAAAAUAUUUCAGUCGUUUCGGCAAGGACGGCUUCUCAUUGGAGGAUGAAACGUGAAUCUUGGGUCGCAAAAAUGUGCGCUCGUUGGCCAAUGACAUCGUUUUAUUAUGUCACGUGACUGGACUAUUCGGCAGAUCAGAGACGUAUCGUUCCCUCAGCCAGAGAGCUCCACGCAGCUACGGGAGCAGGUAGCUAACGGAGCUGUCAGCUGGAGGCUCAGUGAGUAAUGCUGUUUAGUUUCCCCUGUCUGUUGUUCCAAAGGGACUGAAACUCUCUGGACUACAACGGGGGGAGGGAUCUAAAGAGCUGCAGACAAGUGGAAAGCACGAAUCUUGCCGCAGUUAUCUAGCUAAGAGCAUGGAGCUAACUCGCUAACAGCCUGAAGCUAACCCUGUUUACAGUCAGCAGAAGGAGACCGAACUGGCAUCGAAACACAACGAAGAAGUUCUGAAAAACAGACACAUUCCCUCCAGAAUAAUGGAAACAGGCUGGUUACAGACAUGAUGGCUGUGUCUACUACCGCGCACUGGAGCACUUGAGCUGACUUUCAGUGUUCGAAGUGCGCCACUGAAAAAACCAGCAGAAUUCAGUGCACUGAAAGUACCCGGAUGGCGCUCUGCAAACGGGCAGAACAUGUAAACGAUGGACACUACUCGCACUAAGCGGCCGCCAUCUUGGUGACGUAGCGGAAGAGGAGGAGCCCUUUCGCCAGCUCUUCAUUUCAUUUCUAAAACAAUGGCGGACAGCACAAGCGGUAGACCACGAAGCUACAGACCGUAAAUAGACGUUUCCUGGAGGUGCUGGCUGGUCCUCUGCUGCCCUCCCGACAUCUGGCUCCAAUGACCUCUGGCACCUCACAUCCACCUCCAGGGCCUUGAAGAAGAUGGACCGCCAUCGCGUCUUCAGUAUCCCGAAGGACCUCUCCACAACACCCCUCGCCUUUGACAGGCAGCAGUUGUAGCUUGGAGGUGGACAGGCUGCCUGAAGGGGUCAUGAGGCAGAUGGGUUGGGACAGGCAGGGGAGCCACCAUCCCCAAGGAUACAGUAUCCUGGUGGAGGGGAUGACUGCUCAUAGAAGAUGGGGCUGUUAUUCAGGACCCUGGCAUCAUGCACUGAGCCCGGGCCUGUCGAGGCCCUGGCCACCACCCGAUAGGAGGUGGCGCUGGCAAGCCAACAAAUAAAAACUAGACAGGAGAUCUCGGGGCCCCAACCGUGGUCAGUCAGUGCCCAGCACAGCCAUGAGGGCGUUGAAUGACUCGGUGAGCCUGAAGUCCACCCUCAUGUCACUGUGGCCAUCACAACACAACGCCAGCAGUGGCAUUGCAGCAUUGAUACGGCAGCGCCGCCUGGGACUGGGUGGCUGCUGUAGAGUGUGGGGAGGGGAGGGGAAGGGAAGAUUAUAUUAAUAUGCAAGUCAUUUUAUCAAUAAAAUGUUGUCAUUGA